AGAUUUGAUCCUGGCUCAGGAUGAACGCUAGCGGCAGGCUUAAUACAUGCAAGUCGAGGGCAGCAGCUUUGUAGCAAUACAGGGGCUGGCGACCGGCAAACGGGUGCGGAACACGUACGCAACCUUCCUUUAACUGGAAGAUAGCCCACCGAAAGGUGGAUUAAUACUCCAUAACAUAUUGAAGAGGCAUCUCUUUGAUAUUAAAGCUCCGGCGGUUAAAGAUGGGCGUGCGUCUGAUUAGGUAGUUGGCGGGGUAACGGCCCACCAAGCCUUCGAUCAGUAGCUGAUGUGAGAGCAUGAUCAGCCACACGGGCACUGAGACACGGGCCCGACUCCUACGGGAGGCAGCAGUAAGGAAUAUUGGUCAAUGGACGCAAGUCUGAACCAGCCAUGCCGCGUGGAGGAUGAAGGCCCUCUGGGUUGUAAACUUCUUUUCUUUGGGACGAAACCCCUGUUUCUACGGGGACUGACGGUACCAGAGGAAUAAGCACCGGCUAACUCCGUG
rnacentral:rRNA from 1 species